GGGUUGUGAGGUUAAGCGACUAAGCGUACACGGUGGAUGCCCUGGCAGUCAGAGGCGAUGAAGGACGUGCUAAUCUGCGAUAAGCGUCGGUAAGGUGAUAUGAACCGUUAUAACCGGCGAUUUCCGAAUGGGGAAACCCAGUGUGAUUUGUCACACUAUCAUUAACUGAAUCCAUAGGUUAAUGAGGCGAACCGGGGGAACUGAAACAUCUAAGUACCCCGAGGAAAAGAAAUCAACCGAGAUUCCCCCAGUAGCGGCGAGCGAACGGGGAGCAGCCCAGAGCCUGAAUCAGUGUGUGUGUUAGUGGAAGCGUCUGGAAAGGCGCGCGAUACAGGGUGACAGC
rnacentral:rRNA from 1 species